rnacentral:lncRNA from 1 species
GUAAAAUCAAAUUUAGAGGUUAGACCUCGUUUUAUAGUUCAAAUACGUGAAUUUUGAAUUAUGGAUCACCAAACUUAUCUAGGAGUGUUUGGGAAGAAAGAAGGAAUUAAUCCAAUGGGGUUUUUAGUAUAACAUCAUCGUAUCACACGGCACCCAGAAGAAGGGCGUGGCCCUAGCUUUAACACGUUUGUUUUGGCCCAGAGCUUAGUAUGUUUCCCAGAUAAGUAACCAUGUGAACACCAGAACGAUACCAGAUACGAAAACCACUUCCUUGAGACAGUCACCCAUGGGUUCGACGAACUGUUUAGCUGAUUAGAUCCGGAGGUAACCACCAUACAUCAAAUUUCCACCUGACGCCUCCCGAAGAAGAUCUGGAGCUGUAGAUAACCUAGGACAGCACCGGAAGAAGCCUUCACACCACAAGCUAAGUCUUUAAUUGAAUCUUAUAUUUGCCUGUCAGCAGAGACAGUUUUUUUAUAUAAAGUAACGUCACAAUGACUGUAAUGUAGAUCCUGAAUUAUAACCAAUGAAAUGAGAAAAUAAAGCAUUUAUAC